rnacentral:rRNA from 1 species
UACGUAGGGUGCAAGCGUUGUCCGGAAUUAUUGGGCGUAAAGAGCUCGUAGGCGGUCUGUCGCGUCUGCUGUGAAAACUCAGGGCUUAACCCUGAGCUUGCAGUGGGUACGGGCAGACUAGAGUGCGGUAGGGGAGACUGGAAUUCCUGGUGUAGCGGUGAAAUGCGCAGAUAUCAGGAAGAACACCCGUGGCGAAAGCGGCUCUCUGGAACGGUACUGACGCUGAGACGCGAAAGCGUGGGGAGCGAACAGG